AGAAAAAAAAAGUCACAAAGAUUGCUUUGGAGGACUUUGAAGCGGCAAUCACCGUGUUUGCAAAAAUCGUGAGGAAGCGCACUUACGAGAGAUCCCGAAACGGCUCCUGGCCCAGGGCCGUACCAGUGACAGCUUGAGGGACUUUUUGGCCCCGGCGGACGCGAGGGGGGCAGGCAAGGCCUCUCUAAAGAGGCCCCUCGGCGGCCUGGGGCAAACUGGCACUUUCACCACCCCUUUCACCGCUGGCUCCCGCCCGCUAUCCGACCUCGCCAAAGCUAUGUCAAGCCCUAACAUCACCAGGAAGAAAAGUGGUUUGGCUGCGCGGAGAAAGCGCCGGAAAACACAGCAGCGCUCCGCUGACGUCACUUCCGCCUCCAGCCUCAAACCUGGAGGAGAGCUUGGGGACUGCAACCUCAGCCAAGCUGAACGUCCUCAGGCAGAGAUUCUGGUUUACUCCCCAUGGCUACGGAGACGCCUUAGAGACCUUGGAGUCGGCUCAGCUUGAGGGAUGGAGGCCAAAAGGGGCCCAGAGCACAAGGUUGAGUGCCGCUGGGUUGGGGUCUCCAUGACCGAGCUGGUCUCAGCAAGUGGCGCCCAAACAUGGGGCUCGAAUCCGGGUUGAAGAGCGAUGGUUGGAGAACGUGGAACUAUGCUGGAGGACACCCAAGUACUCUUAAGCAAUCCCCGUGGACCCAGCCAACAGCCAAUUUGGGUGCCAUCAAGACAUCUAAAGCCCUACUCGGAGCCAUCUUAGAUACCCAGGAAGAGGUUUUGGGAGGAUCCCAAAGACCCACCAUGGCAAUGUUGUCCAAGUUGAGGCUGAGGAUGAACCCUGUCAUGAGCAACACUCAUCAAAUGCAGCCACCUACCUGGGGACAGAUCAAGAAGCUGUCACAGAUGGCGGAAGAAAAUCUGAGGAAAGCAGGACAACCAGUCACAAUGAGUAAUUUAAUGAUAGCUAUGAUAGCGGUGAUCACCACUGACAUGAAUAUUCCUUCAGCAAGGGCUGACACAGAGAACAAUUAUACUCACUGGGCAUAUUUACCUUUUCCACCACUUCUAUGACCUAUAACUUAGCUGGACCCCCCAGUGAAAGUUUACACUAAUAAUAGCUCUUGAAUGCCCAGUCCUACAGAUAGAGGCACAUCUCACCCACAUGAGGAAGGAAUUGCUAUGAUUAUUUCUUUAGGAUUUAAAUAUCUGCCCAUCUGUUUGGGAAAGGCCAUUAGUUGUCUACCCCCUCGCUAUCAAACUUGGCUGGCAAUAAUCCCUGGACAUAAUCACUCUAUGGCACAGUUACACAUGCUUUCUGGUCUCAGUAUUUACCAUAAUGAAUCUGCUCCUCUAAUUGAGACAUACUGCCCUCAAAAACCUAUUUGUAAACAGGA
rnacentral:lncRNA from 1 species